rnacentral:rRNA from 1 species
UACGGGAGGCAGCAGUGGGGAAUAUUGGACAAUGGGCGAAAGCCUGAUCCAGCCAUGCCGCGUGUGUGAAGAAGGUCUUCGGAUUGUAAAGCACUUUAAGUUGGGAGGAAGGGCAGUAAGCGAAUACCUUGCUGUUUUGACGUUACCGACAGAAUAAGCACCGGCUAACUCUGUGCCAGCAGCCGCGGUAAUA